UACAGAGGUCUCAAGCGUUGUUCGGAUUUAUUGGGCGUAAAGGGUGCGUAGGCGGCGCGGCAAGUCGGGUGUGAAAUCUCGGAGCUUAACUCCGAAACUGCAUUCGAUACUGCCGUGCUUGAGGACUGGAGAGGAGACUGGAAUUUACGGUGUAGCGGUGAAAUGCGUAGAUAUCGUAAGGAAGACCAGUGGCGAAGGCGGGUCUCUGGACAGUUCCUGACGCUGAGGCACGAAGGUCAGGGGAGCAAACGGG
rnacentral:rRNA from 1 species